UAGCAGAUACAUUCCAGCCAAUCAGCAGCAGACCCUCCCUCCCAGAUCCUCUCACCUCCUGGACAGCUCACUAAGAAUGCAGCUUCACAAUGAAUGUAAAAGGGAUGCUGUCCAGGAGGUGGGAGGGUCUGGGAGGGAGGGUCUGCUGCUGAUUGGCUGGAAUGUGUCUGCUG